AUUGAACGCUGGCGGCAGGCCUAACACAUGCAAGUCGAACGAGUGGCGGACGGGUGAAUCAUGUCUGGGAAACUUCCCGAUGGAGGGGGAUAACUACUGGAAACGGUAGCUAAUAACGCAUACCCUCGUUUGUGCCCAGAUGGGAUUAGAUAGUCGGUGGGGUAACGGCUCACCUAGGCGAAGAUCCCUAGCUGGUCUGAGAGGAUGACCAGCCACACGGGAACUGAGACACGGUCCAGACUCCUACGGGAGGCAGCAGUGGGGAAUAUUGCACAAUGGGCGCAAGCCUGAUGCAGCCAUGCCGCGUGUAUGAAGAAGGCCUUCGGGUUGUAAAGUACUUUCAGCGAGGAGGCGUUACUCGCAGAAGAAGCCCCGGCUAACUCCGUGCCAGCAGCCGCGGUAAUUC
rnacentral:rRNA from 1 species